rnacentral:rRNA from 1 species
GUGGAUUAGAUACCCUGGUAGUCCAUGCCGUAAACGUUGGGAACUAGGUGUGGGUCUCAUUCCACGAGAUCCGUGCCGCAGCUAACGCAUUAAGUUCCCCGCCUGGGGAGUACGGCCGCAAGGCUAAAACUCAAAGGAAUUGACGGGGGCCCGCACAAGCGGCGGAGCAUGUGGAUUAAUUCGAUGCAACGCGAAGAACCUUACCAAGGCUUGACAUAUACCGGAAACAUCCAGAGAUGGGUGCCCCGCAAGGUCGGUAUACAGGUGGUGCAUGGCCGUCGACAACU